GAAAAAGAUUUUAAGGACUGCUAACUCUUAUCCCCACAUUUAAUACUUGUGGCUUUUUCA
ensembl:Mt_tRNA